GGUUGGCCUCCCUGAGGCGUCGACAGUUUCUCUCAGGUCUUCUCAGGACGCCCUAUCUGCCGAUCCUCGGGUGGUCAUGGGGGGACCUUGGCAAUCAGGACAUCUUGGCCAUCUUCAGCCGCCUGCGCUCGGUGCUUAGCAACCAGGUAGCGGCCGCCGGGCAAGCUCGGGACCGCGCGGCGGGCGUGGGAGGCGGAGCCGGCCAGUUGGUAAACGGCCGAGUUCGCCCGCCCGUACGGGAUCCAAGUGACUUCGCUCGCCCACGCCUGUGAGCAACUGGUAGACAUCCGGUCCGCUCACACUGCUCUAGCCGAGUUUGGUGGCGUCUCCGCAGGAAGAGCUAAAGGCACCUAACUUGAGAGCCACGAGCUGGUCCCGUCCCCCGCUAGCUGUUGAACUAGCGCGUCACCCAGUUCCUGGUCACUUGAGCUUCUCACAGGGCUGUCCGAGUGUCUUCAAUUCAUGGUUGUUUAGUAGUGACCCGCUGAAGAGAGAAGUCGGUAUAAGUACCUUUUUUUUUUUUUAAAAAGGUAAUGCCUCACUACUUAGACCCACCUGACCUUGAACUAAAUCUUCCUGCCUCUGCCUCCUGAGUACUGGGACUUCCGGUAUGCUGUUUACCAUCGUGCCAUUUGUAACCUAAUCUUGAAAGUUGAAUCCUGUCGCUUUUGCCACAUUUUACUGGUCACGCCGAGCACCUUGGUAAAAAGUGAGGCAGAAAUUACACAAGAGAUAGAGCCACUACCCGAUGGAUGGUAAGGGACAGUGCCCCAGAGGGACUACGUUCCUGCUCAGCACUCAUUUCUGUGCUAGGUUCCUAGCUGGAUGUUAAGAGUAGAAUUCCUGGCAUGGGAUAUGACUGAACAAACUAUUUAGCUGUACAAGUAGCUGUACAAGAAGAAAUCGCACUUACUACAAAAGAAAGACAUGAUUUUUUGGAUUUAAGUAAAUAAAACGUAAUACAUCCUGCCAGUGACUGGACUCGUAGGUCUUCGUGAUGGAAGGCCGCCACGAUACCAUUGCUCUCCCAGUGAUGAGCUGAGGUGCCAGUGCUGAAGCACGGUUGUUACAGUUAGCCCCCUACAAGACUCCUUCCCAAACAUCUGACCGGGACCAUCUGUGAUAGUGGAGCGCUUUCCCAUAUGCCUGGUUCUGGUUCUGUUAAGAGGACCUACCUAGGUGACUUUCUUCAGCCCUGCCCGUGCCAUAGAAGUUGGACCACAUGCCUUUGAAGGCUUUGCAAACCUUUGGAAGUCUUUUUCUGAGCAUGCCAUGGUAUAUUUUGACUGCAGUGCCAAAAAUCACAACGGGGCAAGCAUAACCGAUGGAUGUUUCUUUUUAUCAAUUGCUCAGGGUCACUUUGUGUUCACUAGAGUUUUAUCUGGUGUGUUGAUGACCCCAUGGAGAUAAGAGGCAGUUCCUCUUGUAGCUGGGAUGACAGUACCAAUUCCUACUGGAAGAAGGACAGCAGGCAAGACACCUAGACUACUGUGAAAAGCACAGGCUCUUCAGACAGAUGUGAGCUGCAGACCAGGAAGCCAGAACUGCAGGCUGAAGUGGCUUCUGUACCUUGCUUUCCAGCACUCACUUCACACCCAGAGUGGCUGGCAGAUGGUCAUCAGUGUGCAGAGAGGCAGGUGGGGCCAGGUUAUUAGUGGGCCAGCAUAGCAGAUCUUUUGCUGCCUGGGCUACAGCCAAGCAGGGGUCAGCAGGAGCCAUCAGCUGCUUUGAUGCUCUUCCCAGCUUUUGAUAAAUGGUUUUGUAGCUAAAUCAGAGACAGAAAGGCAGCUCUACAAAAGGCAGGACCCAGCCAUCAUUCCUCACAGCCACAGCAGGCCCUGUAGCCUGCAUGAUGGUCUCUGCAGUCUGCACAAAUCUGUUUCCCAGACACAGGAAUGCCAUUCCAGGGCCAUCACAUGUACAGAUGCAGACACCAUCCAUCCUCCAGAACCUGGGACCCACCAACAAAACUGAGUGGUGAGCUUCCCUUGUUGUCUGCCAUGCCGCCCAGAUUCUGUUACAGCAGCCCUAGGAGUGACUACAUCGUGUAUCAUCCCCUCCCCAUGGCUUGGAACAGAGAGACAGGCUGUGCUGAUUCAGGCCUUUGCCACAGCCAAGUACAAACACAGUGGAAGGUACCUCACACACGGAAGAGCAGGACACAGUCCCAGCCCUGUCUCUUUUCCUGUCCCCUAAAAGCUAUGUAGCAGCUCAGUUUCCUCAUCUGCAAGAUGGAGACAGUUUGGCCUACUUUCUAGGAUGUCACAGAGACGAAAUAACAGCAGAGCAGCCAUGACUGUUCACCAUCUUUUUAGAAGAUGGCGAACUUUCUGCUGACCUGACAUUCAUUUCUCAACGAUUCUGCCAGAUGGAUGAAGGAAGUAGAUUUCUAUCCCAUCAUCUGUCCUGCUUGCUGGGUUUCUCCUGAUGCAGGCACACCUUGUCAUAAGUCAAACUGGAGUGCCUUUCUGUUCUGGCCUCCCCAGGACCUACAGUCACCAAGAUGGCAAUGGUCAAGCUGGCAGCAGGAAUGAGAUAACCUCUACAAGGGACUGUCCUGGGGGCGGAAGACUUGAGGCUUGGCCAAUGCUGCACUAGCCCAGGUGGAUUUUCAGAAUGCUGGUCCUGGCUAUGGCACCAGAACAUUUUCCCUUGCUGCCCAGACCCAUUUUGAGCUGGCAGCAUCAAGUCCCUCAUGCCUUCCCUGUUUUAAGCCUUCCAAGGCUAUGCUGUAUGCUGGCUCUGCAAACAGGCCCUCUGGGCAUCUACAAUGUGGUGUGUAAAGCCCUCUUAGAAGAAGUGCAAGUGCUUCAAACUGCUGGCACUGCUUGAACACCUGCUUCGUGUUCUCUGUGUACUUUGAUGUGGUCUGAUUAAGCUUCUUCAGGGCCUUUUCAUAUUUGUCCUUGGUCUAUGUUGAAAUUGACACAGAGGUUUGUUUCCAUCCCACCUCUGUUUACCCCAUGUGCCCCGUUGCUUCGCAGGCCUCCCCAGAUUUCAAGUCCAAUCCCUGUGCUUCUCCGUGGCAAGUUGCUCGCUCUCUACCUGCUCUGCCUCUCACUGGAGCAAAGCCUAAACAAGUAGAUAUAGACAGGAGGUGGUCACACCAACACUCAGUGUCCUGGAUCCCAAGCAUACUUCUAUGUUGGUAGCAUAGUUGUGAGCAUAGCUGCUGCCUUUGUAAACAACUGAAAGGUGUUCAAAGGAUGCAUGUGAGAAGUGCAUGGUGCUCUUCCUAAAGCAGGUACUAUGCCAAUGCUCAGCACACCUCACCAGCCUGUGAUAACCCUCAGUGUCCAUUAAUAUAAGCAUAUGGCCACCUCAGUGUUCCAUCUGUCGCCUCUCAGGUGGAGGUCCAGUAGAGUCACUCUUCCUUGGCUCUUGUGGAGCUGCCAAGCUUUUCCUGUUACACUCUAUGGUGCACUCUGCUGCUUCUACCUACAGUAGAGGGAGUGCUAAUGGCCACAUUGCUCAAAGUGGCCUUCAUGCGGAAGACUCCAUUCUCAGAUUCUUUUCUGAGGACUCUGGACUUUCUGAAGGCUCUGUGCCUCUUCAUUUCCAUGAAACCUCCCCAUGGCUGUGUUAAAAGUUGUCAUUGCUGUCUCUCUCUCUCUCUCUCUCUCUCUGUGUGUGUGUGUGUGUGUGUGUGUGUGUGUAUGUAUGUACAUACAAGAUGAGGAACAGUACAAACUAGGUAAACUAUCACUACAAGGGGUCAUCAGAAAAGGACCUCACUUGGUCACUCUUGACUGCUAUUUUCUUUUUGAUUUAUACUAUAAUACUGCUUUUGAAUAGUUUCCUUGCUACUUAAAAAGCAAAGGACUUCACUCCAUGGGUAUUUGGCAAGUAAUUGUCCACCUGCCAGACACUCCUGGGAGUGGCUAGCCUGCCCCUUGUUGCUUUACGACAUGCUUGUGCUGCAUUGCAUUCCAGACAGCAAGCUUCCCUGCUUUUGUUGCCAACAGAGGACAAGUCUGCAGACUGAGAUUCUCUGCAUACAACUCCAGGCCAGGUACUGACAGACCAGCUGGUAAGAUUAGAGAGUAAUGCCAGCUAGCAAAAUGCAGAGCUAAGAGUGCCUGACAUCUCAUGUUGACCUACGGGACAGAGACAGCUUCCCAUAGCUGUUGACAGUGAACUAAAGCCUUCUGCUUUCAUGUUAUAAGACUAUUACUACUUUCUAGUUAUUCUCACUUCCUGAGCACCUUUCUUAUGCUAGGUACCAUGUUUAUGGUUCAGCCUCUGAAUAUUGCCUAUUCCCUAGCAAGUUGGAAUAGCUGUCUCCAUUUCACGGAUGAGGAAA